AUUGAACGCUGGCGGCAUGCCUUACACAUGCAAGUCGAACGGUAACGGGCCUUCGGGUGCCGACGAGUGGCGGACGGGUGAGUAAUACAUCGGAACGUGCCCGAUCGUGGGGGAUAACGAGGCGAAAGCUUUGCUAAUACCGCAUACGAUCUACGGAUGAAAGCCGGGGACCGCAAGGCCUUGCGCGGACGGAGCGGCCGAUGGCAGAUUAGGUAGUUGGUGGGAUAAAAGCUUACCAAGCCGACGAUCUGUAGCUGGUCUGAGAGGAUGAUCAGCCACACUGGGACUGAGACACGGCCCAGACUCCUACGGGAGGCAGCAGUGGGGAAUUUUGGACAAUGGGCGCAAGCCUGAUCCAGCCAUGCCGCGUGCAGGAUGAAGGCCUUCGGGUUGUAAACUGCUUUUGUACGGAACGAAAAGCCUUCUUUUAAUACAGGAGGGUCAUGACGGUACCGUAAGAAUAAGCACCGGCUAACUACGUG
rnacentral:rRNA from 1 species